UACGAAGGGGGCUAGCGUUGCUCGGAAUCACUGGGCGUAAAGGGUGCGUAGGCGGGUCUUUAAGUCAGGGGUGAAAUCCUGGAGCUCAACUCCAGAACUGCCUUUGAUACUGAAGAUCUUGAGUUCGGGAGAGGUGAGUGGAACUGCGAGUGUAGAGGUGAAAUUCGUAGAUAUUCGCAAGAACACCCGUAGCGAAGGCGGCACUCUGGGCCGGUACUGACGCUGAGGAGCGAAAGCGUGGGGGAGCGAACAGG
rnacentral:rRNA from 1 species